GAUGAACGCUGGCGGCGUGCCUAAUACAUGCAAGUCGAGCGAACAGACGAGGAGCUUGCUCCUCUGACGUUAGCGGCGGACGGGUGAGUAACACGUGGAUAACCUACCUAUAAGACUGGGAUAACUUCUGGAAACCGGAGCUAAUACCGGAUAAUAUAUUUAACCGCAUGGUUCAAUAGUGAAAGACGGUUUUGCUGUAACUAAUAGUUGUAUCCGCGUCGCAUUAGCUAGUUGGUAAGGUAACGGCUUACCAAGGCAACGUUGCGUAGCGGACCUGGGAGGGUGACCGGCAACACUGGAACUGAACAACGGUCAAAACCCCUAGGGAAGGAGGAAGAAGGGAAUCUCCCGCAAUGAGCGAAGGCCUGCCGGAGAAACCCCGGGUGAGUGAUGAGGGUCUUGGGAUGGUAAAACUCUGUUAUUAGGGAAGACCAAAGGUGUAAGUAAAUAUGCACGUAUUGACGGUAACUAAUCAGAAAGCGACGGCUAACUACGUG
rnacentral:rRNA from 1 species